rnacentral:misc_RNA from 1 species
CCGAGGAUGCCCAUUGCCGCCUCCGCGACCAGUACCUUCUUCUCCUCGGGAAAUUGCGCCAAAAGGACCAGCUCAUUGACCGAACCAAGGCGGAGGCGAAUAUGAAUGCGGUGGCUUUGAAGAAGUUUGUUGAGGAAAAUCAGAGAUUGGCGGCGGNAAUCAGAGAUUGGCGGCGGAGUGUGCCAGUUUGGUGAUUCAGUGUAACAAAUGGGAGAGGGAGUGUUCACUUUAUGACAACGAUAGAGAGGCUUUAAUGGAUUUUGGAAACGAGGCUGAUGAGAGGGCAAGAGAGGCCGAAUUUAGGG